UGGGGAAUUGUUCACAAUGGGCGCAAGCCUGAUGACGCAACGCCGCGUGGGGGAUGAAGGUCUUCGGAUCGUAAACCCCCUGUCGAAUGGGACGAAAGACUCGCGAGUGAAUACUUCGCGAGAGUGACGGUACCGUUAAAGGAAGCCACGGCUAACUCUGUGCCAGCAGCCGCGGUAAUACGAAGGGGGCUAGCGUUGUUCGGAAUUACUGGGCGUAAAGCGCGUGUAGGCGGACUUGUAAGUUGGGGGUGAAAUCCCGAGGCUCAACCUCGGAACUGCCUCCAAAACUACAAAUCUGGACCUAAGUAGAGGCAAGUGGAAUUGCGAGUGUAGAGGUGAAAUUCGUAGAUAUUCGCAGGAACACCAGUGGCGAAGGCGACUUGCUGGACUUAUGGUGACGCUGAGACGCGAAAGCGUGGGGAGCAAACAGGAUUAGAUACCCCCGUAGUCCCUGAGCGGGCUGGCAAGGCGCAU
rnacentral:rRNA from 1 species